UCCGGAGGGGGCGAUCGUUGCUCGGAAUUACUGGGCGUAAAGCGCACGUAGGCGGACUGGAAAGUCAGGGGUGAAAUCCCGGGGCUCAACCCCGGAACUGCCUUUGAAACUCCCGGUCUUGAGGUCGAGAGAGGUGAGUGGAAUUCCGAGUGUAGAGGUGAAAUUCGUAGAUAUUCGGAGGAACACCAGUGGCGAAGGCGGCUCACUGGCUCGAUACUGACGCUGAGGUGCGAAAGCGUGGGGAGCAAACAGG
rnacentral:rRNA from 1 species